CGGGAAUUUUGGGCAAUGGGCGAAAGCCUGACCCAGCAACGCCGCGUGAAGGAUGAAAUCCUUCGGGAUGUAAACUUCGCAUGAACGGGAAGAAUAAGUAAGGGUUAAUAUCUCUUACGAUGACGGUACUGUUUGUAAGCUCCGGCUAACUCCGUGCCAGCAGCCGCGGUAAUACGGGGGGAGCAAGCGUUGUUCGGAUUUACUGGGCGUAAAGGGUUCGUAGGCGGCCAACUAAGUCAUACGUGAAAUCCCUCGGCUUAACCGGGGAACUGCGUCUGAUACUGGAUGGCUUGAGUUCGGGAGAGGGAUGCGGAAUUCCAGGUGUAGCGGUGAAAUGCGUAGAUAUCUGGAGGAACACCGGUGGCGAAGGCGGCAUCCUGGACCGAUACUGACGCUGAUGAGCGAAAGCCAGGGGAGCAAAC
rnacentral:rRNA from 1 species